rnacentral:rRNA from 1 species
GGUACCCAGUUCGGAUUGUAGGCUGCAACUCGCCUACAUGAAGUCGGAGUUGCUAGUAAUCGCGGAUCAGAAUGCCGCGGUGAAUGCGUUCCCGGGUCUUGUACACACCGCCCGUCACACCAUGGAAGUUGGGGGCGCCCGAAGUUGCCUAAGAAAUAAGGUACCUAAGGCGAAACCAAUGACUGGGGUGAAGUCGUAACAAGGUAUC